CGGGUCCCCUUUUUUCCCACGUGUGCCCUCUCCUCAGUCUCCAGACCCCAGGAAGGGAAAGUAGGAGAUUGAUGUCAGCUCUUUGGAGCCAGCUCUGUGAGCAGCUGAUCAGCAGCCCCAGGAAGCCCCCCUUCUCUGUUCAGCCUGUCCAUUGAAUUGCAUUGGGAAUCUUAGUUACAAGCUGCAUUGUCACACUAGGGGUGCUGUGGGGAGCUAUGGGUCCCAAAUUAUACAGGAGGGACUGAUCUGAUGACAUGAACAGCACAGCUGCC